rnacentral:ncRNA from 1 species
AKSAGCUGCUCCUAGUACGAGAGGACCGGAGUGGACGUACCCCUGGUGUUCGGGUUGUGAUGCCAAUCGCAUUGCCCGGUAGCUAUGUACGGACGGGAUAACCGCUGAAAGCAUCUAAGCGGGAAGCCCCCCCUCAAGAUUAGAUUUCCCCGAGCUUUAAGCUCCUGAAGGGCCGUGGAAGACCACCACGUUGAUAGGCUGGGUGUGGAAGCGCAGUAAUGUGUGAAGCUAACCAGUACUAAUUGCCCGUGAGGCUUGACCAU